rnacentral:lncRNA from 1 species
UUAAUCAUGCUGCUGUCUUUCUAAAGGUAAAUGAGAACCACCCUUUUCUUUCCUAUUCAACAUGAUUGCUUUUCCCUUUGGAUUUGAACAUGUGAUGGAUUAUAAUGAGAUGGACCUUUUAUUGUUUAUAUGUUUUUUUUUCCCAUGAUAUGAUGAGGUUUUGCAAGAGAAUAAGAGCUUUUAGUUUUGUUAAACUUUUCUUGAGUUUCUGCUUGUCAAAAAGGAGCUAAAGGCCAAAGGGUCUUCAUAAUUUUUUGUCCCUCGUUCUUUUUUCAUGAGGACCAUCUCUUAUCUAGUUUUGAUGGAAACUCGUGAUAUAAUACCUUUAUUCUCUUUAUAUCUUGAAACAAAAUGUUGCUCCCAGCUCUUACUUUAGCCAAGAACUGAAAGUUAGAAGGGGUUGCAGAUACUGUUUUUAGCCUAUGCGCAUGUAGCCAGAGUUUCCUUAGCAAAAAAACUACACCUGGUGGUUUUCCUGUUCAUGUGUUUCCCUGUGGGAGUGACAACUGAGAACUGAAAACUGCAUACAUAUGUGUUAAGAUGCUCUGAAGCAGAUGGAAGAAAGCAGCUUUAGAAUAUAAGAUAAAAUCUUUUUUAGUUCCCUAUCACACACCACCACAAGAACAGAAUCUCAGAUAAGCGAUGAGAGGAGCUUUUGACUAAUUUUUUAAUUUUAUUUUCUUAUGCCCAGUGGCUGAUAUUGGCUGGCAAAUUAAAAGUGUUCUACUAUUCUAUAUCUCAGCUUAAAACAAAACACUACAGUCCUUAGAAGCAGAUAUGUGUAAAUAGUGACCCCCAACAACAUGACAAGGGACCCAAAGGUUCUCUUUUUGGGAUGGAACUGAACUUCUCCAUGCUUAUCCCUUCCUACUCAGGUUCGUUCCUUUUUACUUUCCAAUUUCCCCUCCCUACUUUUUAUUCUCUUAUUAUAGAUAGAUGUCCUAUAUGACAUACUUCUAAUUGAUACUUGAUAAUUCCAUGGUUGUUUUUCUCUUUCACUCUCUCUGAUUGUGCAGAUGUCUUUAUUGGUGGACCCAUUUUGUUUGUGGCAGCCUAAUUUCCUGAUCUUAGAAGAGGAGGCCCACAUGAGUGAUUGCUGACGAUGGCCUGUUUCUUUCUGGUUUAGAUUUUGCAUUUUGAAGGAGUGGACCUUUUCCUCCUCCUGGCUGGUUAGAUUCAUGCCUUUGUCAAUACUCUCUCUAUUCAUAAUUAACUCACUCAGACCUAGCUAUAACUGUUAGACCAUCAUUUCUUGGGUGAUAAUUGUUAGACUAUCAUUUGUCCAUGACCUCAUGGCCUUUUUUGGACCGUCACAUAUAAACUCUUUUACUAUUAGAUAUACAAUUAUAAAGCUUUCGUGUACAAGACAAGAUGCUG